CCGGAUGAUAGACAGAUGCCCCCUCUCCUUCGGGCCGCCCCAAGGGGCUGGGCUUGGCGCCUGUCGGCCAAUGGGAAGAGACCCGCGGGGCGCGUCGCGCCUUCCCGUGGUGCCCCGCGGCGAGCGGCGGCAGGAGCGGCCGCGACUCCAUCCGGGUCCCGGCGCGGCUCCGGGUCACCCUGCGGCAGCUUUGUUCUCAAGAUGUGCUUGGUGAGAAGGAGAUUCCAAGGCAUACAUCUAACUGAUGAGAGGUCCACACCUAGGUCCCUUCAGAGAAGUUUCAUGAUUGUAGUUGCCAGGACUACACCAACUUACUAACCAUCUAAAGGUGAAAGAAAGACCCAGGCAGUUGCUCUUCUAGCACAUGAGCCUUAAUGCUAAACUAAUCUGUUGAGUAGCCACAAGUGACUCCUCACCUUUUUUUGGGAAACAUCAAGCUGUGAACUUUGAGUAUCCAAGACUCAUAACUGUAAUUUUUCUCCUGAGAUGGGUAACUGUUUUCACAACAAGCCAUUUGAAGCUUGCUGCAUUCUUUUUUUUCCCCUCCUGACAUCCUAGGUGUACCCAGUUUAACAACUUCUGCACUAGCCUGACCAGCUAACAGCUCACUGAAGUAACCAAACAAAAAUGCUUUUUGGGACUGAAAGUUUAGCAGAGUAGGUCAGAGUGAAAAUGGAGCCAUUUUGUGAGUAUUUAAGGCCAGAACACUGAAGCUGGUUGACCACCACUUUACCAAGCAGUGCUAGCUGCAGGCUUGCAGUAUGUGCCCAAGCCUAAGAAGACCCAAAGCAGCUGUAAGCUAAACUUGACUCCACAGAGCAGCUGCUAAGUGAGAAGAACUGCAGAAAGGAAGUGUUGGGCUCCUAGGAAGAGGUAGUAGGUUGCAUAGUUUUAGGGCAGGGAUUUUGCUCACAAGGAGGUAACUAUACAACCUGCUGCCUUUCUUAGGGCUUUAUUAUGACACCGGCACCGUUUGGGCUCCAGCCUAACCUCCGCAGCUCUGGGGCAUGAAGAGAAGUGACAAGCUCUGCCUCAGCACGCUCAGGGGCUCUGCAAGCUUGGUACCAAACUCCAGCCUAGGGCUGGGACUCAGGGUGGUGAAAUGUGGCAUUUGAGGGGGCACUUGGCUGUUUUGGUGGUGUUGGCUUGAGAUAAGUGAGAGGCUGCAUUUGGAAGGCAACUUCUCAAGGGGUGAGGUUGAGUUCCCUGUGAUUAGGAUGCACUUGCAGUGUUCAGCCAAAGUGCUGAGUACUUCAGCAGAUAGCUGAAACAUCUCUUCCUUUGACUUUAUGCAUUUCAAAUGGAAAAACUGAAGUUAUUUUUUCUCCAGAAGGCUCAACUUGCAGCUCUCCUGAAAGCUGGUGUGUUCUCAGCAGGUAGAGGCACUCCUACUGAAACCAGCUCUCAGCCCUGGGUUAUUUGCAGGAGGGAGUUUUCACUCCCUUAAAAUGAAUGAUUGCAUGUUUUAAUAUUCUCUUGGAAGUGAAUGUUAAAUAGUGGGCUGAUUUCUUGUGUGCACUGCAGCAGUAGUUGUGGCCACGCUUCAGCUGCACAUCCUGUGCUGUGGGAUGCAGACUUGAGCUGCUGAGCAUCUUGUAGCAUUAAUCUGUGUGCCUGCACAAACCACUGUUGACACUGUGGACAGCAAAACAGAAUCAUGAGCGUGUUGAAGUGUGCUUGUAUUGAACAUCCUGUGAGCUGCAUUGUACACCUUUGCUUUAGGUAAUAAAGCAGAGCAUUUUGUGCAA